GACGUAGGGCGCGAGCGUUGUCCGGAUUUAUUGGGCGUAAAGAGCUCGUAGGCGGCUUGUUGCGUCGACCGUGAAAACCCGGGGCUCAACCUCGGACUUGCAGUGGGUACGGGCAGACUAGAGUGUGGUAGGGAGAUUGGAAUUCCUGGUGGUAGCGGUGGAAUGCGCAGAUAUCAGGAGGAACACCGAUGGCGAAGGCAGA
rnacentral:rRNA from 1 species